GUUACCCUGGCGAGUUGCCAGGUACAGCAAUAGCAUUCAACAGACAUGGUCUGGUGUUUACUGGCAAUGCUUUAUACGCUGAACAUGUUAUUGAAACAGCGACACCUAGGCAAUUUAUAAACCGGAGCCUCAUGAAAGCUCGUUCUAUUGAUGAAGUCAUUGAACUCAUUAAAAACCCAGGUUUUGGAGUCGCUAUUGGAUUCUCAUUGA
rnacentral:sRNA from 1 species